rnacentral:lncRNA from 1 species
UCUCCCUCUUUCAUUAGAUCUUCUCACCUUCUUGACCUCCCCCUUAAGGUCCAAAAUUUUACUUGGAGUAAUCACUGAGAUAAUCCAAAUACGUUAAAGUUGGACAAAUUUCUAAUCUCUAGCAUCUUGGACGACUUGCACUCUAACUCCCAUCAGUUAGGCUUACUAAAUUCUUGCUCAGAACGUGUCCCGAUCAAAUUCUUUCUGGUGGGUC